rnacentral:misc_RNA from 1 species
UACAGAGGUCCCGAGCGUUGUUCGGAUUCACUGGGCGUAAAGGGUGUGUAGGUGGCCGAGAAAGUCUGAUGUGAAAGCUCCGGGCUCAACCCGGAAAUUGCAUUGGAAACUGUUUGGCUAGAGGGUCGGAGGGGAGACUGGAAUUCUCGGUGUAGCAGUGAAAUGCGUAGAUAUCGAGAGGAACACCGGUGGCGAAGGCGAGUCUCUGGACGACACCUGACACUGAGGCACGAAAGCUAGGGGAGCAAACAGG